GUCAGGUGCAGUGGUGCACGCCUGUAAUCCCAGCAACCCAGGAGGCUGAGGCAGGAGGCUCACAAGUUCAAGGUCAGUCCCAGCAAUUUUAGAGAGAUCCUAAGCAACUUAGCAAGACCCUGUCUCAA
rnacentral:sRNA from 1 species